GGGUCGUUAGCUCAGCUGGUAGAGCAGCGGACUCUUAAUCCGUAGGUCGAGCGUUCGAAUCGCUCACGACCCA
rnacentral:tRNA from 5 species